AACAAGAAGAAGGAGACAGAGAGGAGGGAAAGGGAGAUUGGAGCUACUGGGAAUUGUGGGAAUGGGCUGUUUGGGAUGAAAGAAAAUCACUAGGAAAAUUUUCUUGUUGAUGUUUUCUUCCCAAGCCCGCCCAUUCCAAUGAUUUCCAGCGGCUCCUCCCUUUCCCUUCCAUCUCUAUAUUGAGACUUAUGUUCUAAUGCAGAUUCAAGACCAUCGGAUCUCAAGUUUGUUGCUACUAACCUGGGUUUGUGUUUAGGAAUACUGUCUUAGGAAUCACUUUUGGGAUAAGCGUUUUUAUUGAUCUCAGUCCAUUCUGAGCAAGGACUACAUCCCACUGCAGUUUGUAAGCAUGCAGAUGUACAUGUAUUCUUCUCAACAUGCUUACAAACUACAUGCUCUGCAUAGUUAUGGACAGGACAAAGUGCUAAGAUUACAUAAAUGUUCAUCUAAUAAUUCUAUCGACAUCGGCAUAACUGUAACCCUACAUGGGAAUCUAAAUUUUAAAUUACAGAUUAAUUGCAAAAUUUUUGCUGUACUGGUCUAA